rnacentral:rRNA from 1 species
UAAUGCUUGGGAACAUGCCUUGAGGUGGGGGACAACAGUUGGAAACGACUGCUAAUACCGCAUAAUGUCUACGGACCAAAGGGGGCUUCGGCUCUCGCCUUUAGAUUGGCCCAAGUGGGAUUAGCUAGUUGGUGAGGUAAUGGCUCACCAAGGCAACGAUCCCUAGCUGGUUUGAGAGGAUGAUCAGCCACACUGGGACUGAGACACGGCCCAGACUCCUACGGGAGGCAGCAGUGGGGAAUAUUGCACAAUGGGCGCAAGCCUGAUGCAACCAUGCCGCGUGUGUGAAGAAGGCCUUCGGGUUGUAAAGCACUUUCAGUCAGGAGGAAAGGUUAGUAGUUAAUACCUGCUAGCUGUGACGUUACUGACAGAAGAAGCACCGGCUAACUCCGUGCCAGCAGCCGCGGUAAUACGGAGGGUGCGAGCGUUAAUCGGAAUUACUGGGCGUAAAGCGUACGCAGGCGGUUUGUUAAGCGAGAUGUGAAAGCCCCGGGCUCAACCUG